AUCCUGGCUCAGGAUGAACGCUGGCGGCGUGCUUAACACAUGCAAGUCGAACGAUGAUCCCAGCUUGCUGGGGGAUUAGUGGCGAACGGGUGAGUAACACGUGAGUAACCUGCCCUUGACUCUGGGAUAAGCCUGGGAAACUGGGUCUAAUACCGGAUAUGACUCCUCAUCGCAUGGUGGGGGGUGGAAAGCUUUUGUGGUUUUGGAUGGACUCGCGGCCUAUCAGCUUGUUGGUGGGGUAAUGGCCUACCAAGGCGACGACGGGUAGCCGGCCUGAGAGGGUGACCGGCCACACUGGGACUGAGACACGGCCCAGACUCCUACGGGAGGCAGCAGUGGGGAAUAUUGCACAAUGGGCGCAAGCCUGAUGCAGCGACGCCGCGUGAGGGAUGACGGCCUUCGGGUUGUAAACCUCUUUCAGUAGGGAAGAAGCGUAAGUGACGGUACCUGCAGAAGAAGCGCCGGCUAACUACGUGCCAGCAGCCGCGGUAAUACGUAGGGCGCAAGCGUUAUCCGGAAUUAUUGGGCGUAAAGAGCUCGUAGGCGGUUUGUCGCGUCUGCUGUGAAAGACCGGGGCUCAACUCCGGUUCUGCAGUGGGUACGGGCAGACUAGAGUGCAGUAGGGGAGACUGGAAUUCCUGGUGUAGCGGUGAAAUGCGCAGAUAUCAGGAGGAACACCGAUGGCGAAGGCAGGUCUCUGGGCUGUAACUGACGCUGAGGAGCGAAAGCAUGGGGAGCGAACAGGAUUAGAUACCCUGGUAGUCCAUGCCGUAAACGUUGGGCACUAGGUGUGGGGGACAUUCCACGUUUUCCGCGCCGUAGCUAACGCAUUAAGUGCCCCGCCUGGGGAGUACGGCCGCAAGGCUAAAACUCAAAGGAAUUGACGGGGGCCCGCACAAGCGGCGGAGCAUGCGGAUUAAUUCGAUGCAACGCGAAGAACCUUACCAAGGCUUGACAUGAACCGGAAAGACCUGGAAACAGGUGCCCCGCUUGCGGUCGGUU
rnacentral:rRNA from 1 species